UACGAAGGGGGCUAGCGUUGCUCGGAAUCACUGGGCGUAAAGCGCACGUAGGCGGCUUUCUAAGUCAGGGGUGAAAUCCUGGAGCUCAACUCCAGAACUGCCUUUGAUACUGGAGAGCUUGAGUCCGGGAGAGGUGAGUGGAACUCCGAGUGUAGAGGUGAAAUUCGUAGAUAUUCGGAAGAACACCAGUGGCGAAGGCGACUCACUGGCCCGAUACUGACGCUGAGGCGCGAAAGCGUGGGGAGCAAACAGG
rnacentral:rRNA from 1 species